rnacentral:tRNA from 6 species
GGGUGAUUAGCUCAGAUGGUAGAGCUUCUCCUUUACACGGAGAUGGUCGAAGGUUCGAUUCCUUCAUCACUCA